UCCUUGUACCCGAAUUGUCACCGUAUGGUGUGCGUGUCUGGAAAACUUCAGACUAGGGUACAGUGACGAU
rnacentral:ncRNA from 1 species